rnacentral:rRNA from 1 species
UACGUAGGUGGCAAGCGUUGUCCGGAUUUACUGGGCGUAAAGGGCUCGUAGGUGGCCAACUAAGUCAGACGUGAAAUCCCUCGGCUUAACCGGGGAACUGCGUCUGAUACUGGAUGGCUAGAGUUUGGGAGAGGGAUGCGGAAUUCCAGGUGUAGCGGUGAAAUGCGUAGAUAUCUGGAGGAACACCGGUGGCGAAGGCGGCAUCCUGGACCAACACUGACGCUGAGGAGCGAAAGCCAGGGGAGCAAACGGG